rnacentral:rRNA from 1 species
AACGAACGCUGGCGGCAUGCCUAACACAUGCAAGUCGAACGAAGCCUUCGGGCUUAGUGGCGCACGGGUGCGUAACGCGUGGGAAUCUGCCCUUUGGUUCGGAAUAACAGUUGGAAACGACUGCUAAUACCGGAUGAUGACGAAAGUCCAAAGAUUUAUCGCCAGAGGAUGAGCCCGCGUAGGAUUAGCUAGUUGGUGUGGUAAAGGCGCACCAAGGCGACGAUCCUUAGCUGGUCUGAGAGGAUGAUCAGCCACACUGGGACUGAGACACGGCCCAGAGUCCUACGGGAGGCAGCAGUGGCGAAUAUUGGACAAUGGGCGAAGGCCUGAUCCAGCAAUGCCGCGUGAGUGAUGAAGGCCCUAGGGUUAUAAAGCUCUUUUACCCGGGAUGAUAAUGACAGUACCGGGAGAAUAAGCCCCGGCUAACUCCGUGCCAGCCGCCGCAGUAA